GAGACUGCCACAGUGACUUGCAAGCAACUCACUGCACUUAGGCACUGGACUACCUGAAUUUCUAAUUCAGUGAUGGAAGGCUGCUGGGUGUAGUCAAGUACUUGAUUUGUCGGUGCGUGUGUCAAGAUGAGAUUGACCACUCUAGUUCAGGAGCUGUGUACAGUCAUGUUUCAAUUUAGCAAAACCUUGGCCAGGGUAGUCCUAAUAAGGAGUCACAGGAC
rnacentral:lncRNA from 1 species